UGGGGAAUUUUGGACAAUGGGGGCAACCCUGAUCCAGCCAUGCCGCGUGUGUGAAGAAGGCCUUCGGGUUGUAAAACUCUUUCGUCGGGGACGAUAAUGACGGUACCCGAAGAAGAAGCUCCGGCUAACUUCGUGCCAGCAGCCGCGGUAAUACGAAGGGAGCUAGCGUUGUUCGGAAUCACUGGGCGUAAAGCGCACGUAGGCGGAUAGUUAAGUCAGGGGUGAAAUCCUGGGGCUCAACCCCAGAACUGCCUUUGAUACUGGCUGUCUCGAGGUCGAGAGAGGUUGGUGGAAUUCCUAGUGUAGAGGUGAAAUUCGUAGAUAUUAGGAAGAACACCGGUGGCGAAGGCGGCCCACUGGCUCGAUACUGACGCUGAGGUGCGAAAGCGUGGGGAGCAAACAGGAUUAGAUACCCUAGUAGUCCCUGAGCGGGCUGGCAAGGCGCAU
rnacentral:rRNA from 1 species